GCGCGGAACCUUUACAAUGCACGUAAGUGUGAUAGGGGGAUUCUAAGUGCUUAUGCUUAGCAUAAGCUUUUGCCAAGAGUAAAUAUCUUGGCGAAUAAGUGGUGGGUAAGACCGGUGCCAGCAGCCGCGGUAACCCCGGCGCCACAAGUGGCGACCACUUUUAUUGGGCCUAAAGCGUCCGUAGUCGGCUUAGUAAAUCUUUUGUGAAAUCGUAUCGCUUAACGAUACGGCGUGCAAAAGAGAUUGCUAGGCUAGGAACCGGAGGGGAGUUAGAAGUAUUCCAGGGGGAGCGGUAAAAUGUGAUAAUCCCUGGAGGACUACCUGUGGCGAAAGCGUCUAACUAUAACGGAUUCGACGAUGAGGGACGAAAGCUAGGGGAGCGAUACGG
rnacentral:rRNA from 1 species